AAGUCCUUCUUGAACGGGGCCACAGCCCAUAGAGGGUGCCAGGCCCGUAGCGACCACUGCAGAUAGCGGGAGGAUCUCUCCUCAGAGUCGGGUUGCUUGAGAGUGCAGCCCUAAGAGGGUGGUAAACUCCAUCUAAGGCUAAAUAUGACCACGAGACCGAUAGCGAACAAGUACCGUGAGGGAAAGUUGAAAAGAACUUUGAAGAGAGAGUUCAAUAGUACGUGAAACCGUUCAGGGGUAAACCUGAGAAACCCGAAAGUUCGAAAGGGGAGAUUCAGCGUGGCUCGAUGGCGGCGCGGGGAGGUCGAGUGACGGAUGGCGUACGCGUCGUCCGCGCCUUCAUUUCCGUGGUCCGUCGUCGAACGCGUGCACUUCUCCCCUAGUAGGACGUCGCGAUCCGUUGGGCGUCGGUCUAAGGCCCGUGGUGGAGCCCGUCCGGGCGGCUUGCCGUUCCGGACGAACCCACGGUGUUUCCCGACCGACUCGCUCGACGGUAUACAUAUGGCGCGGGGCCGCUAUUCAGUUAGCGUCCGAAACGUGGCAAGCUCCCUCGUGCGGUUGGUGAUCGGACCUAGUGCCGGUCCCGACCCCGAGAGGUUGUUGGCUGCGUCCCUCUAGGACAGACUCCGUUGAAACGCCGAUCAGCGACGCUAUAGCUUUGGGUAC
rnacentral:rRNA from 1 species